GACGAACGCUGGCGGCGUGCCUAAUACAUGCAAGUAGAACGCUGAAGCGAGGAGCUUGCUCUUCUUGGAUGAGUUGCGAACGGGUGAGUAACGCGUAGGUAACCUGCCUGGUAGCGGGGGAUAACUAUUGGAAACGAUAGCUAAUACCGCAUAAAAUGGAUUAUCGCAUGAUAAUCCAUUGAAAGGUGCAAAUGCAUCACUACCAGAUGGACCUGCGUUGUAUUAGCUAGUUGGUGGGGUAACGGCUCACCAAGGCGACGAUACAUAGCCGACCUGAGAGGGUGAUCGGCCACACUGGGACUGAGACACGGCCCAGACUCCUACGGGAGGCAGCAGUAGGGAAUCUUCGGCAAUAGACGGAAGUCUGACCGAGCAACGCCGCGUGAGUGAAGAAGGUUUUCGGAUCGUAAAGCUCUGUUGUAAGAGAAGAACGAGUGUGAGAGUGGAAAGUUCACACUGUGACGGUAUCUUACCAGAAAGGGACGGCUAACUACGUG
rnacentral:rRNA from 1 species